AGAUAGAGAGAGAGGGGAAGGAAAAGAGGAGUGGGAGCAGGGAGAAAUGGUCGUAGGAGAAAUGCCAUUCAAUGAACGAUGGAAGGGAUGAUGGAUUAUAAGGAUAUGUCCAAUUAAGUCAAGUUGAGAAAAUAAUAUUAAGAGCCGGAGGAGAAAAGCAGGAUCAAUCAGACAAAAAUGGGAAGAGAAAAAAGAAAGAAAGUUUGUGAUUUGAAGUGGUGAAAUGUCAACAUUUAAACGGAGUAAGAGUUGGUGGAAAUGGAGACAUGUAAAAGUGGUGAUCAAAGCAGAAACCAAGAGGGAAUCAUAAAGUAAAAAGAAAUGAUUAGGGAUCAGAGGAGGAGACACAGAGAGAGGAGAGAAAGAGCCAAAUGAGUUACGAGGUCGAUGCAUGACGAACACCAAUAGAAAUGGCAGCACAGGAAAAGGGACACAGAGAAAGAGGAGAUGAAGGGGAAUUAAAAUUCUUCACGGCCAAAAGGUCCUGAUUCUCCUGGGAUGAGAAGUGAGGAGUGUUUGUCGUGUGACGGGCAUCAGGCAAAGCCAGGAGGUUCCCAUACCGAAGAGCAAAAUCCACUAAAUAUCAUCUACAUGUUCUUACAUGACCUGGAAAACUUAAUCACUACAGAAUAAUAAUUAAAAAAACAUCUUAAUUGUACUAAAAUACUAAAGGCUUAGCUUAUACUUGUAAACAUGCAAGCCACAUUGAUGCCAGCACCAGAUUUAAGAAGCAUAAAAGCAUAAAAUCCCAAAAAUUACUAUAAAGACCAAACAGAGCCAAACUACAGCUGACAGCGCUGCUGCAUGGAUUCACCAAGUAGCUUAAAACCUUAAGAAGACACAAUGCCUUUUAAAAAAAUCAUAUUAAAGUUCCCAUGAAACUGCUUUUAAUUGGUAAACGUCUUGCUCUCCCUCAUCUAAUGCUCUGGAACAGUUCUGGUAAUUAUCAAAACUGUCUCUGACAAAUUGUUUGCUGACUAUGACUAGAGCUAAACUUGGUCUAAAAGAAAGUUUAGCCAAAGUCCAACUCGAGGUUUGAAUGCCUAAUUCACUACUGCACUGAGCAGAGUUUGACAAGACUAAUAUAUUACACUGCAAAAAAAAAAAAAAACAUCUCUAAUUUAUGUUUUGCGCUUCCCAGACAACUCAAUGUAACAAUUUUAACAUUUGUUAAAGUGGCAGUACAAAAUGUCAAAGACAAUUACUGUCAGCUCCAGGAAAAUAUCAUCUUUUGGAAAAUAUCAUCUUUUGGUGCAUUUUGAGUGGUUGCAGUGUUUACCCUGCUUUUUGGGUUAAAUAUGAAACAGACCAUUUAACAUUAUUGCUCCCAUUCAUUUGGCUCAGGCAUUUUUGGAAAAAUGCUUAAUAACUUUAAAUAAUUAUUAUGAUGGAGAAAUUAAUUGGUUAAAUUUGACAUCAUUAUUCUAGGCUAAUUUUUCAGUUUGUUUUCCCCUGAAGCGUCUUUACAUGUCAGAUAUGACAUGUAAAAUUAUCAUGGUAUGACCUAAAGGAAAGACAGAAAGGUUUUCAUUCAGGCAUGACAUGCACACAUUCAGCUGCUGUCAGACUGAUGGAAAGCAUGUCUAAAGAGGGGCUGCGUGAGCAGACUCAACUUUGGUAUACAUUUCAUGGGAACUUUAAGGCUUACCCUUUUCUAGCAAUGGAAUGAAGUGCUGUAAAAGAGACAGAAAGGAAGGGAAACAGCUUGCAUCCAGUAGAAAAAAAUAAAAGAUUAAAAGCAAAUUAUCAGCAGAUAAUUUUUAAUCUCGUGGUUGUGAUCGCUGUGAGUGGAAGGGUUUCUGUUUUGCUUAAAAACAUGAGAAAAAAAAACAACAAAAAAGAUUAAGUCUGCCCCCCAAUUUCUUUUAAUGUGAACUACCAGGCCUUUUCUCUUCUCAAUCAGAACCAAAUGAAUGAAAACACUUUGCUAACUGGUGCUAUAAACAGUAAUAGGAUGCCAGUAACACAACCUGAGUGACAACUGUCCAGUUACUCAAACACAACCAACAGUGUAGUUUAAUACCCAUGUGUAGAAUGAUACACAUGUCUAUUAAACCCAGAGAUCAAGCAGGUGAACAAACGCAUGGCAAAAUGUUGACUGACAUCCUUUUUAACUUACCAAACUUGCUUGGCUCUUUGUGGCUGUGGUGUUUAACUACAUAAUGCAUUUAAUUAGAGUGUUGUGGUCUUUCUGUUUAAAAGUAAUGAGCUUUUCAGUACUGGAGACAGAAACACAGCACAUUUAGUGGAGCCCUGAAAUGUUAGGG